rnacentral:rRNA from 1 species
CUAAAUCGAGUGGCGAACGGGUGAGUAACGCGUGAGGAACCUGCCUCAAAGAGGGGGACAACAGUUGGAAACGACUGCUAAUACCGCAUAAGACCACGGUACCGCAUGGUACAGUGGUAAAAACUCCGGUGGUAUGAGAUGGACCCGCGUCUGAUUAGGUAGUUGGUGGGGUAACGGCCUACCAAGCCGACGAUCAGUAGCCGACCUGAGAGGGUGACCGGCCACAUUGGGACUGAGACACGGCCCAG